GGGUUGUGAGGUUAAGCGACUAAGCGUACACGGUGGAUGCCCUGGCAGUCAGAGGCGAUGAAGGACGUGCUAAUCUGCGAAAAGCGCCGGCGAGGUGAUAUGAACCUUUGACCCGGCGAUGUCCGAAUGGGGAAACCCAGUGUGAUUCGUCACACUAUCGUUAACUGAAUACAUAGGUUAACGAGGCGAACCGGGGAACUGAAACAUCUAAGUACCCCGAGGAAAAGAAAUCAACCGAGAUUCCCCCAGUAGCGGCGAGCGAACGGGGAGCAGCCCAGAGUCUGAAUCAGCUUGUGUGUUAGUGGAAGCGUCUGGAAAGUCGCACGGUACAGGGUGACAGUCCCGUACACGAAAGCACACAGGUUGUGAACUCGAAGAGUAGGGCGGGACACGUGGUAUCCUGUCUGAAUAUGGGGGGACCAUCCUCCAAGGCUAAACUCCUGACUGACCGAUAGUGAACCAGUACCGUGAGGGAAAGGCGAAAAGAACCCGGCGAGGGAGUGAAAAGAACCUGAAACCGUGUACGUACAAGCAGUGGGAGCACCUUCGUGGUGUGACUGCGUACCUUUUGUAUAAUGGGUCAGCGACUUAUAUUCUGUAGCAAGGUUAACCGUAUAGGGGAGCCGAAGGGAAACCGAGUCUUAACUGGGCGUUAAGUUGCAGGGUAUAGACCCGAAACCCGGUGAUCUAGCCAUGGGCAGGUUGAAGGUUGGGUAACACUAACUGGAGGACCGAACCGACUAAUGUUGAAAAAUUAGCGGAUGACUUGUGGCUGGGGGUGAAAGGCCAAUCAAACCGGGAGAUAGCUGGUUCUCCCCGAAAGCUAUUUAGGUAGCGCCUCGUGAACUCAUCUUCGGGGUAGAGCACUGUUUCGGCUAGGGGGCCAUCCCGGCUUACCAACCGAUGCAAACUACGAAUACCGAAGAAUGUUAUCACGGGACACACGGCGGGUGCUAACGUCCGUCGUGAAGAGGGAAACAACCAGACCGCCAGCUAAGGUCCCAAAGUCAUGGUUAAGUGGGAAACGAUGUGGGAAGGCACAGACAGCCAGGAUGUUGGCUUAGAAGCAGCCAUCAUUUAAAAGAAAGCGUAAUAGCUCACUGGUCGAGUCGGCCUGCGCGGAAGAUGUAACGGGGCUAAACCAUGCACCGAAGCUGCGGCAGCGACACUAUGUGUUGUUGGGUAGGGGAGCGUUCUGUAAGCCGUUGAAGGUGGCCUGUGAGGGUUGCUGGAGGUAUCAGAAGUGCGAAUGCUGACAUAAGUAACGAUAAAGCGG
rnacentral:rRNA from 2 species